UGAGCCAAGUAAAUGAAGUGGGGAUGGUAAUACAGUGCGUUGUAGCAGGGAGUGAGAGAGUGACAAGCUCGCUCCUCCCAUGAAGCAGCUGAGCUGGCAUUAAACAGACAAGACAUCCCGUUCAGUCAGUUAUCAACCCAGGAAUAAUGAAGGAACGGGCCGGCAGACCAGGACGAGUCACCCUAGUCAGCCAAGUGGAGAAUUUAAUUUCGUGCAGGUUUCUCUGCAGUCAAGCAUUUCCCAGUCGGAGGUCCACUGGUGCCUGGGUGAGUGUGGACAACUCAGUGCUCCCGACACCCAGUCUCUUCGGCGCUGACAAAGAUGCGUGGUGAUGGAUGUUCGAGUGGCUGAAGGGAAAGGGGGAAACUGAAGUUUGGGAGGGUUUUUUAAGAGGUGACUUCGCACCAACGGUGACCACUCGUUUGGAAGCGAUCCACUCGCCCGUGGCAGUUAAGACCUGCCCGGGGUUCAGGUUCUUUAAGCGGAAAUAAUUGCAGAGGUGCACGCUCCAUUAAAAACAACUAUUUAAUACAAUAAUCAUUCAAUUAAAAAUCCCUCAUAGCGGCUGCCACAAUUGAUUUGGAUCAUAGAAACAAAUUAUUUGAAGUAUGAGGCGAACUGUUAAACCAAGGUAAUGAGGAAAAUGUGUGGAUGCUCCUUUAAAUGUAUAGACAGAUUUAUUUAUUUAUGUAUUUAUUUAUUGUUGUUGUUUUAUCUAAUCUGUUCUCUUCACACCGGAACAAUCGGAGUUACAGAUAAAAACAAACAUAGCUGGUAUAAUAAGGAUCGGUGAGUAGGUUAUAGAAGUGGGUCUCUAAAAGCCCAACAAGCUAUUUUAUAUAAAAAACAUCAACUUUACUCUCUAAAACAAGUCGUGUUGCUUUCACUGGCUUGGACCCCUACUAAGAUGACUAAAUGAUGAAGCUGUAACCUCAGUUAUAAAAAGAGAUGAGUCAUUUCUCUCCAGGAUCCAAAAUUCAUUUUCUACAGGUAAGAAUAAAUGAGUCAGAUUAAUUUACCAUUGCAUCUAUAUGUUGUCUGGUAAAGCUGAAUGUCAGUUAAAUAAAUAAAUUAUGCACAAAGACAAAUAGCAAAACCAUUCAUGGACAUGCUUUUCCAAAGGCUGAAGACCUAUAGCUUAGAUGUUUAUGUUUUAAAAUAUAGUUUCUUUUUUUUGUUUUAAAAAAAUUAGUAGAGUAAUUCUUGAAACCAGGUAAAGAAAUCCAGGCGUGGCUGCUGUUUUUAUGUUUUUACAUCACCAGGAAAGGCUAGCCUGGCACACCGUGCUAUAAAUGUAAAUAUUUAUUCUGUCUACGACCCAUAGACAGAGCUCAGGUCGGGUGGCACCUAUGGUUGUUUUGAAAACUGUCUCCGCAAAAAUCUGAGCCACGCUAGGACCAACCAGAGCAAUGAACAAAGUGAUUAACUCAUUGCUAAAGAAAUCAGUGAACAGGGGAGUUCACCAUACACCAUAGAAGAAGAAGAGGCAAAUACAAGCUAAGCCCACCCAGCGUCUCUCUACAAAUAGAGCACUGUGACUGUCUCAACCUAAAGCUGUUUGGGCCAAUGGUAGACCUGCUGAGGCUACAGUGGAGCGUGGCUAGGCCGACCGGCAGAGCAAAAUAUUUUGCUGCCAGUUGGUCUAGAUGGCUAAGCUAAGUUUCUUUUAACAACAAACGCUCAAGGAUGCUGCUUACUUUACCUCUAUGUCUCCAUCAAGAUAUCUAUUUGACUUAUUUUCAUUGUAGAAACUCUGCUUUUAUGUUUUUAGUCUUACAUUCAUGAUCAUCUUUUUCCUGAACUUGAAGCAGGCUCAUCCUUAACAAACAAUAACACUGACCUCAUUAUUGAACCUGCACCAGGCGGCGUCUGGUUUCACACGAUGGGUCCAUGCUGUUCAGCGUGGGUGUGAGUAACAGUGGAGCACAGAUCAUAACUUUCUUAGAACUGUUUUAACGUGUGAAUGAGUGCACACAGGGAUUGUUUUACCUGCUAUUUUUGUUACCUUGCUUUCAUGUUUUUGCAUUUGACAGAUUCCUGCAGGUGUGGUUUUGGACUCCCGCCAUGUGCCGCGUCUCCCCUGGGGUGUUGGUCACCACUGAGUAUGCACAGGUGUGAAGUGUGGGAGUUCUGCUCGAGGCCCACUUGUUUUGCAGGUCGAGAGGAGCCAGUUGAAGUGGCUCUGGUCAAGAUGCCUCCCGAACGCCUCCCUGGUGAGGUUUUCCAAUCACAUCCAACCAGGAGGAGACCUAAGGAAAGACCCAGGACACGCUGGAGGGACUGUGUCUCAUGGCUGGCAAGGGAACGCCUUAGGAUUCUCCCGGAGGAGCUGGCCCAAGUGGCUGGGGAGAGGGAAGUAUGGGCCUCUCGGUUUAGGUUGCUGCCCCUGCGACCCAAAUCCCGCUAAGUGGCUGAAACUGGAUGGAUGGAUCCCUGCAGGUUCUCGCAUGUACAGAAAUGACUUUAAAGGUGUGGAACACUGAAAAAUCUUUUUGUGAUGAUUAUUUCUGUCAUUCUGAGAUUUUCAUGCGAGCUAAAUAUGAAAACAGUCUCCUACCUAUCUCCUGCAUUAGCUUCUGAUAGAAAAUAAACGGUGACACUAGGAUUUGAAAAGCCUGGCCGAUCUACGUCACACUCAACAUUCAUGGACUCACCCAUCUUGACUCAUGAUGGGGAAGCAGUGUUAAUUUUGUUGACAAAAUAUUUUUGUCUUUUUUUUUCGUCACGAAUAUAUAUUUACAGACAAAAAUGAAACAAAAUUUCAAAAUAAAAGCUUGGAAAAAGACAAAGAUGGUAAUGAAAUUGAUUGAAACUUUUAGUCAAUGAAUAAAAGAUGAGACGAAAAUCCACGAUGACGAAUAUCUAAUCAGAAGACAGGAAAGAUGCAUGACGCAUAUAAAAGGACCAAUCAACAAAUUGAACAGGCAGGACUAGGUGAGAAGAUAACCAAUCAGAGUCCACUUUGUUUAGAGGUGACGCUAGGCCUACCAUAAUAACAAUCAACUUCUCCAUGUUUGCUCGGAGAUGUCCGGAGCUCUCGGAUGCGACCUGACUGCUCACACUGUCCAUCUGGUAGCAACACGUCGGACCUAAAAAUUAUGCUAAAAACAGCAGUUUUUACACAACACGUCAGACUUUUUUGUUUUGCCUGUUGUCCUUCGGGAGUGCUGCAGGAGGACAUACAGGGAUUUAUGGGGGUUGGAUGAGGAAAACGAAAUAAAGUAAAUCUGUGUUUUGUGAUCAGUUUAAUUUGGCAUGAACACGACAAACACGCUUUCUUGACAAUCUUUGUGAGUAAAAAAACAUGUAGAAACAAAAACGAACAACGUGUCUUGUUAGGGAAAUAGCGGGCGAGCGGUGUUGAUGCAUGACUGCGCAUGCGCCGUGAGUGGUUCUUGUACUUUUUGGGUCGCAGCCACGCGCUGCACUGCUUCAACUGUGCAAUCGUGAGCUCGCACGGAGUGCAAUACCCUCACGAGGGACGAGCAAAAUAUCAAACAUGCCAGAAGUCCAUGCGAGCUCACGAUUGCACAGUUGAAGCGGUGCAGCGAGCGGCUGCGACCCAAAAAGUACAAGAACCACUCACGGCGCUUGCGCAAUCAUGCACACACGUUGUUCGUUUUUGCUCAAUGAGGAAGUGCACGUGCGCUCUAAACCAGGACUAGACCAGUAAAGUGAAGCAUGCUUUUGGCUGUUUAUAAUUUUCACAAUGUCUGGUUUGCACUGAUAUGUUCCGAGUCCUGAGCCCGCACAGAUGUUUUACCAGUACGUUUUAUAACCCGGUGCGCCUUUUGUAUGCGUUAAAUACCAAAAAGACACCCGUAACUGACAGCUUACAGGUCCUGUAUUGUACUUAUUUUGGGGUGUUAACCAUUUUAUUGUGAAGUGUCUGGGAAAAUGCAUGCCCUCGAAGGAGGAAUUUUUAUUUUUGAGUAUUUCUGCAUGCUAGUUUGAAAAAUGCUUGUUGUGCAAUUGCUAAAAAGAGCACCUUUGUAAUUCCCAGUGUGCUUUUUGUUUUUUUAUUAAACACGUACGUGUUAAACA